GACGAACACUGGCGGCGCGCCUAACACAUGCAAGUCGAACGAGCGAGAGAGAGCUUGCUUUCUUGAGCGAGUGGCGAACGGGUGAGUAACGCGUGAGGAACCUGCCUCAAAGAGGGGGACAACAGUUGGAAACGACUGCUAAUACCGCAUAAGCCCACGGUGCCGCAUGGCACAGAGGGAAAAGGAGCAAUCCGCUUUGAGAUGGCCUCGCGUCCGAUUAGCUAGUUGGUGAGGUAACGGCCCACCAAGGCGACGAUCGGUAGCCGGACUGAGGGGUUGAACGGCCACAUUGGGACUGAGACACGGCCCAGACUCCUACGGGAGGCAGCAGUGGGGAAUAUUGCACAAUGGGGGAAACCCUGAUGCAGCGACGCCGCGUGGAGGAAGAAGGUCUUCGGAUUGUAAACUCCUGUUGUUGGGGAAGAUAAUGACGGUACCCAACAAGGAAGUGACGGCUAACUACGU
rnacentral:rRNA from 1 species